ACUACGGGUGGCAGCAGUGAGGAAUAUUGGUCAAUGGGCUUACGCCUGAACCAGCCAAGUCGCGUGAGGGAAGACUGCCCUAUGGGUUGUAAACCUCUUUUGUCAGGGAGCAACGCCGGCUACGUGUAGCCGGACUGAGAGUACCUGAAGAACAAGCAUCGGCUAACUCCGUGCCAGCAGCCGCGGUAAUACGGAGGAUGCGAGCGUUAUCCGGAUUUAUUGGGUUUAAAGGUUGCUUAGUCGGAAAGGCAAGUCAGCGGUAAAAUCGCGGGGCUCAACCCCGCUCCGACGUUGAACAGGGCGUUCUUGAGUGGGCGAGAAGUAUGCGGAAUGCGUGGUGUAGCGGUGAAAUGCAUAGAGAUCACGCAGAACUCCGAUUGCGAAGGCAGCAUACCGGCGCCCAACUGACGCUGAAGCACGAAAGCGUGGGUAUCGAACAGGAUUAGAUACCCCAGUAGUC
rnacentral:rRNA from 1 species